AAAAACCGGCGGCCUCGAAGGCCGGCUUUUGAUGGGGGCGAAACAGGAUCGACAAGGGUGUAAAGAUCGACUUUUCGCUCGGCAUUGUACCGCCGUUAUCGGGCUAAAAUUGUAGUUGCAAACGACAACUAUGCGGAAGCUCGUCUCGCUGCUUAAUCGCGGUGUGACACUUCAAUCAAAGUCCUAGUGGUUCGCACCUCUAGGCGGGGUCCGAAGGCACCUGGCAACAGAAGCCUUCACC
rnacentral:tmRNA from 1 species